ensembl:snRNA U2 U2 spliceosomal RNA
AUCGCUUCUCGGCCUCUUGGCUAAGAUCAAGUGUAGGUUAUGUAUUCAUGUUUUUCAUAUUUUCAGUCCAUGCUCUCUUUGAUGAAUAUAAAAAUGCCAUAUCUUUUAAUAUUAUUUUAAAAUU